AGCCCUGUCAGUGCAAUGGUUAAGCACUCAGCUGGUAACUGAAAGGUCGGUGGUUCAAACCCACCAGCGGCUC
rnacentral:tRNA from 1 species